UACGUAGGGGGCCAGCGUUGCUCGGAAUUACUGGGCGUAAAGGGUUCGUAGGCGGUGCGGCAAGUUGGGAGUGAAAUCUCUGGGCUUAACUCAGGGGCUGCUUUCAAAACUGCCGCGCUCGAGUGCGAGAGAGGUCAGUGGAAUUGCAGGUGUAGCGGUGAAAUGCGUAGAUAUCGGGAGGAACACCAGUGGCGAAGGCGGUUGCCUGGGGCUUUGCUGACGCUGAUGCGCGAAAGCGUGGGGAGCGAUCCGG
rnacentral:rRNA from 1 species